rnacentral:rRNA from 1 species
AUUGAACGCUGGCGGCAUGCCUUACACAUGCAAGUCGAACGGCAGCACGGGUGCUUGCACCUGGUGGCGAGUGGCGAACGGGUGAGUAAUACAUCGGAACAUGUCCUGUAGUGGGGGAUAGCCCGGCGAAAGCCGGAUUAAUACCGCAUACGAUCUACGGAUGAAAGCGGGGGACCUUCGGGCCUCGCGCUAUAGGGUUGGCCGAUGGCUGAUUAGCUAGUUGGUGGGGUAAAGGCCUACCAAGGCGACGAUCAGUAGCUGGUCUGAGAGGACGACCAGCCACACUGGGACUGAGACACGGCCCAGACUCCUACGGGAGGCAGCAGUGGGGAAUUUUGGACAAUGGGCGAAAGCCUGAUCCAGCAAUGCCGCGUGUGUGAAGAAGGCCUUCGGGUUGUAAAGCACUUUUGUCCGGAAAGAAAUCCUUGGCCCUAAUACGGUCGAGGGAUGACGGUACCGGAAGAAUAAGCACCGGCUAACUACGUG